rnacentral:rRNA from 1 species
AGUGAACGCUGGCGGUAGGCCUAACACAUGCAAGUCGAACGGCAGCACAGUAAGAGCUUGCUCUUACGGGUGGCGAGUGGCGGACGGGUGAGGAAUACAUCGGAAUCUACUUUUUCGUGGGGGAUAACGUAGGGAAGCUUACGCUAAUACCGCAUACGACCUACGGGUGAAAGCAGGGGAUCUUCGGACCUUGCGCGAUUGAAUGAGCCGAUGUCGGAUUAGCUAGUUGGCGGGGUAAAGGCCCACCAAGGCGACGAUCCGUAGCUGGUCUGAGAGGAUGAUCAGCCACACUGGAACUGAGACACGGACCAGACUCCUACGGGAGGCAGCAGUGGGGAAUAUUGGACAAUGGGCGCAAGCCUGAUCCAGCCAUACCGCGUGGGUGAAGAAGGCCUUCGGGUUGUAAAGCCCUUUUGUUGGGAAAGAAAAGCAGCAGGUUAAUACCCCGCUGUUCUGACGGUACCCAAAGAAUAAGCACCGGCUAACUUCGUG